UAUACCUGCAAGUCGAGCGGACAGAAGGGAGCUUGCUUCCGGAAUGUAGCGGCGGACGGGUGAGUAACACGUGGGUAACUGCCUGUAAGACUGGGAUAACUCCGGGAAACGGAGCUAAUACCGGAUAGUUCCUUGAACCGCAUGGUUCAAGGAUGAAAGACGGUUUCGGCUGUCACUUACAGAUGGACCCGCGGCGCAUAGCUAGUUGGUGAGGUAACGGCUCACCAAGGCGACGAUGCGUAGCCGACCUGAGAGGGUGAUCGGCCACACUGGGACUGAGACACGGCCCAGACUCCUACGGGAGGCAGCAGUAGGGAAUCUUCCGCAAUGGACGAAAGUCUGACGGAGCAACGCCGCGUGAGUGAUGAAGGUUUCGGAUCGUAAAGCUCUGUUGUUAGGGAAGAACAAGUGCAAGAGUAACUGCUUGCACCUUGACGGUACCUAACCAGAAAGCCACGGCUAACUACGUGCCAGCAGCCGCGGUAAUACGUAGGUGGCAGCGUUGUCCGGAAUUAUUGGGCGUAAAGGGCUCGCAGGCGGUUUCUUAAGUCUGAUGUGAAAGCCCCCGGCUCAACCGGGGAGGGUCAUUGGAAACUGGGAAACUUGAGUGCAGAAGAGGAGAGUGGAAUUCCACGUGUAGCGGUGAAAUGCGUAGAGAUGUGGAGGAACACCAGUGGCGAAGGCGACUCUCUGGUCUGUAACUGACGCUGAGGAGCGAAAGCGUGGGGAGCGAACAGGAUUAGAUACCCUGGUAGUCCACGCCGUAAACGAUGAGUGCUAAGUGUUAGGGGGUUUCCGCCCCUUAGUGCUGCAGCUAACGCAUUAAGCACUCCGCCUGGGGAGUACGGUCGCAAGACUGAAACUCAAAGGAAUUGACGGGGGCCCGCACAAGCGGUGGAGCAUGUGGUUUAAUUCGAAGCAACGCGAAGAACCUUACCAGGUCUUGACAUCCUCUGACAACCCUAGAGAUAGGGCUUUCCCUUCGGGGACAGAGU
rnacentral:rRNA from 1 species